AUUCCAUUGGCUGACGCGCUUGAAUACGGCCUCGGUGUGUGACAAUAAUAAAUCCGAUGGGGUGAAACGACCACCGGCAAGUGUUUCCGCCACAACGACCCGUAUCUUGUAGCCCAAUUAUAGCUCGUAGGAUCAGCGAAAGAUGCCCCUCUUCGAUGAAUGAUAUCUGUAAUAAUAUAUUUCUUUUGAAAUCAAUUAUUUACAAUAGAAAAAGGUGAUUCCAAUGAAAUUACAGUAAUAGUAACAAUUAAUUUAGCAAUGGCAGUCUGUCUUACGGAACCGCUUCGUAAGCCGUGUAUGUACCAUGUAAAAUUCAAAGUGGAAUUGCAUAUGAAGAAGUCCCUGGUGCCCAUCCACCUGAGCUGCGAACAGGUGGGCCUGGAGAUGCUGUGCCUGUGCGGUCAGCUAGACCUCCUCAUCCGAGCUCAGGUUCACCAGUUUCAAGAACAACUUAAACAGGAUUCCAGCCCCAUUGAAUCACAUGUUCUCCAAAGACAAGGAUCUGAUAUUAUAGAACAAAUGCAUCAGUGCCUUGAACACCUGCCCAAACCUGUGCCAGAACUUGAAUGUUAUUAUUAUUUUUCUCCAGGAUUACCUGGAUAUUGUGGGACUGUCCACUAUGUUUCCUCGAGUGGAGAUUUUUGUCAUACAUGGCAGCCCUGUAGAUAUGCUGGAGAAGCCAGCUAUGGAUGGGUACUUUCCAUAUAUUGGGAGACUUAACCAACUCCUUGUCCUCUGCCAACAACUCGAGGAUGAUGUCAGACAUCUAGGAAGUCACAAAUACAUUGCACAUCAGUUAUCAGUCAUUUAUCAAGUUCUUAGUUUGUUAAAGGGCAUCUUGCCCCUCGCUGGUAUAAGGAGAGGCAUCGAGGCUAACUUCAAAGAAAUUAAAAUGGCUCUGGUGCCCGUGGAAGGAUCCAAACUGGAGCCUCAGUUGCCCGCACACCACAUCGAUUGGAUACUGGAAGUCACUCAGAGUUUAAUAUCAACAGUGUCUUCACUUCCUGAGGAACUUACCGAGGACCUUGACCAAGUUAUGGCAUUUAUUUCUAAGCUGAAAUGAUGACAAACAAGUGUGCUUUUCUCCUGAUAUUCCCAGCAAUUUAGAUCUUCACUUUUGUCUUAAUGUUGUAAAAACAUUGUUAUAUUAAUGUGAUAGAUGAUGAGGAAUGCAACAUAUGUCCAAGCUGUUGUUUUUGGACCAUUUACAAGAGGGUAAAUAAUAUGGGGUUAUGUUGAUUUGGUACACCAUUUAAAACAUUGAUUUAGAAGAGUACAGUGCAACCAUGAUUUCUUUUAAUGUGCACUGCACAACAAAUCAAGUUGAUAUGCUGGAAGAGAACCUUCAAAAAUGUUGCCAAGGAUAUUAACCACUGCACAUACACUCUAUACCGUUAGUAUUUUCUAUUUUUCAAAAGUUAACCUCAGAUAUUUAUGGCAUUUGAUGCAUCCAUCACUCUCAUAUAGUACGUAACAGAAGUAAUAGAACGAAUUUGGAAAUGUUUUCAUUGUUAUUAUAAUAACUUGACCUGACCAGUGAACCCAAUAGCUUCAUCACAGUGCAAACACUAUGUUUUGUUUUGUGUGUUUGAUUUCAAAUUGUUAUGCAAAAACAAGUUUUAUGGUCACAUUAUAUGAAAUGAAAGUCUACUAAAAUGUAAUGUCAAUGUGUCAUUAAAACAUAUGCAAUGGCUAACGUCA